GUAACCAGGGUACACAGAGGUAACCAGGGUACACAGAGGUAACUAGGAUACACAGAGGUAACUAGGGUACACAGAGGUAACCAGGGUAGACAGAGGUAACCAGGAUACACAGAGGUAACUAGGGUAUACAGAGGUAACCAGGGUAGACAGAGGUAACUAGGGUACGCAGAGGUAACCAGGGUAGACAGAGGUAAGCAGGGUACACAGAGGUAAGCAGGGUACACAGAGGUAACUAGGGUACACAGAGGUAACCAGGGUAGACAGAGGUAAGCAGGGUACACAGAGGUAACCAGGGUACACAGAGGUAACCAGGGUACACAGAGGUAACCAGGGUACACAGAGGUAACCAGGGUACACAGAGCAGAGGUAAGCAGGGUACACAGAGGUAAGCAUCGACCUGGAUGGCAGACAUUACGUCUCAUAUACCAGUCAGGAAUCGCUGUUCAGUCAGGAAUCGCUGUUCAGUCAGGAAUCGCUGUUCAGUCAGGAGUCGCUGUUCAGUCAGGAGUCGCUGUUCAGUCAGGAAUCGCUGUUCAGUCAGGAAUCGCUGUUCAGUCAGGAAUCGCUGUUCAGUCAGGAAUCGCUGUUCAGUCAGGAAUCGCUGUUCAGUCAGGAGUCGCUGUUCAGUCAGGAAUCGCUGUUCAGUCAGGAGUCGUUGUUCAGUCAGGAGUCGCUGUUCAGUCAGGAAUCGCUGUUCAGUCAGGAGUCGUUGUUCAGUCAGGAAUCGCUGUUCAGUCAGGAAUCGCUGUUCAGUUCAGGAAUCGUUGUCGACGGUGACUUCACAUUUUCAUUUCAAUAUACUGUUACCUCUUUACUUAGGUUGACGGCAUGACGUUGAUUCAUUUUACUCUCAACAUUGAAACAAGGUGAAAUAAAUGCCUAAUCAAAUAUAAAAUGUUUCAUCAUUUCAAUCACUCA
ensembl:lncRNA